UGCAUUACACCAAUGGUGCUAACUGCUC
rnacentral:sRNA from 1 species